rnacentral:rRNA from 1 species
AAUAGAUACCCCGGUAGUCCACGCCGUAAACGGUGGGCACUAGGUGUGGGCGACAUUCCACGUCGUCCGUGCCGCAGCUAACGCAUUAAGUGCCCCGCCUGGGGAGUACGGCCGCAAGGCUAAAACUCAAAGGAAUUGACGGGGGCCCGCACAAGCGGCGGAGCAUGUGGCUUAAUUCGACGCAACGCGAAGAACCUUACCAAGGCUUGACAUACACCGGAAACGUCCAGAGAUGGGCGCCCCCUUGUGGUCGGUGUACAGGUGGUGCAUGGCUGUCGUCAGCUCGUGUCGUGAGAUGCUGGGUUAAGUCCCGCAACGAGCGCAACCCUUGUCCCGUGUUGCCAGCAGGCCCUUGUGGUGCUGGGGACUCACGGGAGACCGCCGGGGUCAACUCGGAGGAAGGUGGGGACGACGUCAAGUCAUCAUGCCCCUUAUGUCUUGGGCUGCACACGUGCUACAAUGGCCGGUACAAUGAGCUGCGAUACCGCGAGGUGGAGCGAAUCCUCAAAAACGCCGGUCUCAGGUUCGGAUUGGGGGUCUGCAACCG